ACACUGCAAGUCGAACGGAAAGGCCCAAGCUUGCUUGGGUGCUCGAGUGGCGAACGGGUGAGUAACACGUGGGUGAUCUGCCCUGCACUUCGGGAUAAGCCUGGGAAACUGGGUCUAAUACCGGAUAGGACCAUCGUGAUGUGGCGGUGGUGGAAAGUUUUUUCUGUGUGGGAUGAGCUCGCGGCCGAUCAGCUUGAUGGUGGGGUAAUGGCCUACCAAGGCGUCGACGGGUAGCCGGCCUGAGAGGGUGUACGGCCACAUUGGGACUGAGAUACGGCCCAGACUGCUACGGGAGGCAGCAGUGGGGAAUAUUGCACAAUGGGAGCAAGCCUGAUGCAGCGACCCCGCCUGGGGGAUGACGGCCUUCGGGUUGUAAACUCCUUUCGCCAGGGACGAAGCGUUAUGUGACGGUACCUGGAGAAGGCACCGGCAAACUACGUGCCAGCAGCCGCGGUAAUACGUAGGGUGUGAGCGUUGUCCGGAAUUACUGGGCGUAAAGAGCUCGUAGGUGGUUUGUCGCGUCGUUUGUGUAAUACCGCAGCUUAACUGUGGGGUAGCAGGCGAUACGGGCAUAACUUGUGCUGUAGGGGAGACUGGAAUUCCUGGU
rnacentral:rRNA from 1 species